rnacentral:rRNA from 1 species
UGAGUAAAUGACAGGUCUCCGUGUGACCAGCGGAGGAUCAUU